UACAGAGGUCUCAAGCGUUGUUCGGAUUCAUUGGGCGUAAAGGGUGCGUAGGCGGCGCGGUAAGUCGGGUGUGAAAUCUUGGAGUUUAACUCCGAAACUGCAUUCGAUACUGCCGUGCUUGAGGACUGGAGAGGAGACUGGAAUUUACGGUGUAGCGGUGAAAUGCGUAGAUAUCGUAAGGAAGACCAGUGGCGAAGGCGGCAUCCUGGACCGGUAUUGACGCUGAGGCGCGAAAGCCAGGGGAGCAAACGGG
rnacentral:rRNA from 1 species